rnacentral:rRNA from 1 species
AUUGAACGCUAGCGGGAUGCCUUACACAUGCAAGUCGAACGGAGUGGCGAACGGGUGAGUAAUGUAUCGGAACGUGCCCAGUAGCGGGGGAUAACUACGCGAAAGCGUCGCUAAUACCGCAUACUAUUGGAGCGGCCGAUAUCGGAUUAGCUAGUUGGUGGGGUAACGGCAAACAAAGGCGACGAUCCGUAGCUGGUUUGAGAGGACGACCAGCCACACUGGGACUGAGACACGGCCCAGACUCCUACGGGAGGCAGCAGUGGGGAAUUUUGGACAAGGGGGGAAACCCUGAGCCAGCCAUGCCGCGUGUGUGAUGAAGGCCUUCGGGUUGUAAAGCACUUUUGGCAGGAAGGCGGUACCUGCAGAAUAAGCACCGGCUAACUACGUGCCAGCAGCCGCGGUAAUUC